rnacentral:snoRNA from 1 species
AGUAGCAAAUGGAUGAUGAUUCAAUUAGAUGUGUGAAUGGAGAAAUCCUCCCUCAUGAACUUAAACUUUUUGAGGCAUUUUCAUAGAGACUGACUUUGCUACU